rnacentral:rRNA from 1 species
CAGAGGGGGCAAGCGUUGUUCGGAAUUACUGGGCGUAAAGGGCGCGUAGGCGGCCCGCUAAGUCGAACGUGAAAUCCCCGGGCUCAACCCGGGAACUGCGUCCGAUACUGGCGGGCUCGAAUCCGGGAGAGGGAUGCGGAAUUCCAGGUGUAGCGGUGAAAUGCGUAGAUAUCUGGAGGAACACCGGUGGCGAAGGCGGCAUCCUGGACCGGUAUUGACGCUGAGGCGCGAAAGCCAGGGGAGCAAACGGGAUUAGAUACCCCGGUAGUCCUGGCCCUAAACGAUGAAUGCUUGGUGUGGCGGGUAUCGAUCCCUGCCGUGCCGAAGCUAACGCAUUAAGCAUUCCGCCUGGGGAGUACGGUCGCAAGGCUG